AAAUAUCUAAGUAAUAGGGCAAUGGGAUGUGAGAUAUUAUAAGUAUUUAUAGUUUAAAAACAGUCAAAUCAACGCCAAGCAAACCUAAACUUAAUGACACUGAUUAAAGCUUAUAAUUAAACAAGAGAGACUUACAAGAAGAUUGUGUUUAAUAUGACUACAGAAUAGUGGGAAUCAUAAUGGAAGGAAGACAAAAUAAGAUGCAACGUACGGGUUUUAGCUACAAUAAUUAGUAAGAUUGAAGACUUCUUGACGAUGUUUAUAAUGUAUCCUAUAAAAUAUUCACUCGCCAGAAUCGUCCAAAGAUCCAGGAGGGACAGGUAUCUACUCCAAACCUGGAAUCUGUUGCAGAAUAUUAAAG